UACAGAGAGUGCAAGCGUUAAUCGGAAUUACUGGGCGUAAAGCGCGCGUAGGCGGGCUGUUAAGUCGGAUGUGAAAUCCCGGGGCUCAACCUCGAAAUUGCAUCCGAUACUGGCAGCCUAGAGUAUGGUAGAGGGAAGUGGAAUUUCCGGUGUAGCGGUGAAAUGCGUAGAUAUCGGAAAGAACACCAAUGGCGAAGGCAGCUUCCUGGACCAAUACUGACGCUGAGGCGCGAAAGCGUGGGUAGCAAACAGG
rnacentral:misc_RNA from 1 species